rnacentral:lncRNA from 1 species
AGUUUUUAUUGGUGGGUUUUGAGGGAAAGAAAUAGAAAAAAAUGCUUUUACUUAGUCAUUUUUAACCAUCACUCUCAGAUAAUAUUUCUUAAACCAAAAAUAAAUGAAACCCUUGGUUAUAGAAUUGGGGUAGAAUCUGGACAUAGGUAAAUAACCUAGAUAUUAGAAUGAUAAUCAUUAAAUGACAAAAUGGAAAGAAGUCAAUGCCCAUGGGAAUUACCAGAACAAAGAAGUUUUUAAAAUGCAGCAUAUUCAGGUUACAGCAUUUUUUUAAUCUGAGGAAUGAUGUGGUGGAAAAAACAAUCUUCAAAAACAGUAAAUGUAAUUUAUACUCUUGAUUUAGCUUUUUAAACAGCAGAUAGAUCUCCAGUAAUAUUCUGAAGGGGUCUUGGACUUGCCGCACAAAAAGCAUGAGGGGUUUCAGCUGCAGUUUCAGAUCAUUUCCAUCAAAUAGGAGUGUCAGUUGGCCCAUCACAGCUUUAAACCUUGUUUAUAUCAUAUUUUCAGGCAUCUUAUUCUAAAAUAGAUCAAUUUCAUCUAUGUUGAAGAUCCAUUGAAGCAAAUAAACCUUUUCGUGAUAAUCACAGCAAGGGUAAUAGGGAACUUCUUGGCAGUAACAUUUCCACCUUCAGCGUGCUGACCACUCACUUUGAUGUUGUGCAGAUUGGAGUAAGUUCCAUCUGGGGCUUGAUGAAAGUUUCAUCAGUGUUCCACUAUGCUUAGCUUUUAGGUUCUCAAAUUCUUAACCUUCCAUUGAAUUUACAUUAAGAUAAUGCACACUCAGAAUUUACUUUGAUCCUCUAGUCACACACUCAAAAGAUUUUCCAUCAAUCACAUUUUUUCAUCUGUUAAUUAUAGUUGAAUAUAUAUGUGCUGUACGUUUUUGCAUUAUGACUGAUUCACUCUGUAUUUCAGAAUUUUCUCCCAGCAUUUAUCCACAAGGUCCUUGGAAAUCCCACAGUACUAGCUUCUGAUAGGUCCAUUACAGCUGUGAAAAAUGAAAAUGCA